AACGCGAAGAACCUUACCAGGUCUUGACAUCCCUCUGAUCGAAGAACAGAGAUGUAUCUUUCCUUCGGGACAGAGGAGACAGGUGGUGCAUGGUUGUCGUCAGCUCGUGUCGUGAGAUGUUGGGUUAAGUCCCGCAACGAGCGCAACCCUUAUAUUUAGUUGCCAGCACUUCGGGUGGGCACUCUAGAUAGACUGCCGGUGACAAACCGGAGGAAGGUGGGGAUGACGUCAAAUCAUCAUGCCCCUUAUGACCUGGGCUACACACGUACUACAAUGGCCGGUACAACGGGCUGCGAAAUCGCGAGAUGGAGCCAAUCCCAACAAAGCCGGUCUCAGUUCGGAUUGCAGGCUGCAACUCGCCUGCAUGAAGUCGGAAUUGCUAGUAAUCGCGGAUCAGCAUGCCUCGGUGAAUACGUUCCGGGGUCUUGUACACACCG
rnacentral:rRNA from 1 species